rnacentral:tRNA from 1 species
AAUAAAGUGCCUGAAUAAAGGAUUAUCGUGAUAGGAUAAAUAAAGUAAUAUUAAAAUUACCUUUAUUA